UACGUAGGGGGCGAGCGUUGUCCGGAUUUAUUGGGCGUAAAGAGCUCGUAGGCGGUUUGGUAAGUCGGGUGUGAAAUCUCCACGCUCAACGUGGAGGGGCCACUCGAUACUGCCAUGACUCGAGUCCGGGAGAGGUGAGUGGAAUUCCGUAGUGUAGAGGUGAAAUUCGUAGAUAGUCAGGAGGAACACCGGUGGCGAAGGCGGGUCUCUGGGCCGAUACUGACGCUGAGGAGCGAAAGUGUGGGGAGCGAACAGG
rnacentral:rRNA from 1 species